rnacentral:rRNA from 1 species
GACGAACGCUGGCGGCGUGCUCAACACAUGCAAGUCGAACGAGACGAUUGAAAGCUUGCUUUCGAAAGUCGAGUGGCAAACGGGUGAGUAACGCGUAGACAACCUGCCUUUGAGAUGGGGACAACAGUUCGAAAGGACUGCUAAUACCGAAUGUUGUAUAUUUUCCACAUGGAAGAUAUAUUAAAGAUGGCCUCUAUUUAUAAGCUAUCGCUCAAAGAUGGGUCUGCGUCUGAUUAGCUGGUUGGUGGGGUAACGGCCUACCAAGGCGACGAUCAGUAGCCGGUCUGAGAGGAUGAACGGCCACAUUGGGACUGAGACACGGCCCAGACUCCUACGGGAGGCAGCAGUGGGGAAUCUUCCACAAUGGACGAAAGUCUGAUGGAGCAACGCCGCGUGUGUGAAGAAGGGUUUCGGCUCGUAAAGCUCUGUUGUCGGGGACGAAUGUGCAGUAUUUGAAUAAAGUACUGCAAUGACGGUACCUGACGAGGAAGCCACGGCUAACUACGUGCCAGCCGCCGCCGUAA